UUUGAUCCUGGCUCAGGACGAACGCUGGCGGCGCGCCUAACACAUGCAAGUCGAACGAGAGAUGAAGAGCUUGCUCUUCAAAUCGAGUGGCGAACGGGUGAGUAACGCGUGAGGAACCUGCCUCAAAGAGGGGGACAACAGUUGGAAACGACUGCUAAUACCGCAUAAGCCCACGGCUCGGCAUCGAGCAGAGGGAAAAGGAGUGAUCCGCUUUGAGAUGGCCUCGCGUCCGAUUAGCUAGUUGGUGAGGUAACGGCCCACCAAGGCGACGAUCGGUAGCCGGACUGAGAGGUUGAACGGCCACAUUGGGACUGAGACACGGCCCAGACUCCUACGGGAGGCAGCAGUGGGGAAUAUUGCACAAUGGGGGAAACCCUGAUGCAGCGACGCCGCGUGGAGGAAGAAGGUCUUCGGAUUGUAAACUCCUGUUGUUGAGGAAGAUAAUGACGGUACUCAACCACGUUGUCCGGAAUUACUGGGUGUAAAGGGAGCGCAGGCGGGAGAACAAGUUGGAAGUGAAAUCCAUGGGCUCAACCCAUGAACUGCUUUCAAAACUGUUUUUCUUGAGUAGUGCAGAGGUAGGCGGAAUUCCCGGUGUAGCGGUGGAAUGCGUAGAUAUCGGGAGGAACACCAGUGGCGAAGGCGGCCUACUGGGCACCAACUGACGCUGAGGCUCGAAAGUGUGGGUAGCAAACAGGAUUAGAUACCCUGGUAGUCCACACCGUAAACGAUGAUUACUAGGUGUUGGAGGAUUGACCCCUUCAGUGCCGCAGUUAACACAAUAAGUAAUCCACCUGGGGAGUACGACCGCAAGGUUGAAACUCAAAGGAAUUGACGGGGGCCCGCACGAGCAGUGGAGUAUGUGGUUUAAUUCGACGCAACGCGAAGAACCUUACCAAGUCUUGACAUCCCUUGACGAUGCUGGAAACAGUAUUUCUCUUCGGAGCAAGGAGACAGGUGGUGCAUGGUUGUCGUCAGCUCGUGUCGUGAGAUGUUGGGUUAAGUCCCGCAACGAGCGCAACCCUUAUGGUCAGUUACUACGCAAGAGGACUCUGGCCAGACUGCCGUUGACAAAACGGAGGAAGGUGGGGAUGACGUCAAAUCAUCAUGCCCUUUAUGACUUGGGCUACACACGUACUACAAUGGCGUUAAACAAAGAGAAGCAAGACCGCGAGGUGGAGCAAAACUCAGAAACAACGUCCCAGUUCGGACUGCAGGCUGCAACUCGCCUGCACGAAGUCGGAAUUGCUAGUAAUCGUGGAUCAGCAUGCCACGGUGAAUACGUUCCCGGGCCUUGUACACACCGCCCGUCACACCAUGAGAGCCGGGGGGACCCGAAGUCGGUAGUCUAACCGCAAGGAGGACGCCGCCGAAGGUAAAACUGGUGAUUGGGGUGAAGUCGUAACAAGGUAACCGUAAUCGAA
rnacentral:rRNA from 1 species